CAACAAACAUUUUUUGACAUUUUCAUUUGUCAGUUAUGAAGCAGACACAGACACACGACGAGAUAGAAAAUCCUCGUCCUUGUCCUGGUCCUGGCCCUGGCCUGUGUACAUUUGUUAUAUCCUUAUCACAAAAUGAUUUGACAGUCGAGACCGAGUCGAGUCGAGGCAGUUGAACCUCGACAGCCCCAAAAUAUGUGUAACACUCGCAUUUCAUUCUCUAUCCCACCGACAGUGACACGUCUUCUAAACUGCUGUCGUUGGAAAUAAUUUCAAUUUCAUUUCCUUGGCUCCUUGGCAAAAAAAAAUCCUUGCGAAAAAAAGAAAAGAAAAUGAAAAUCAAUAGGCAUUUACACCAAAUUGACCUUUCACUCACGAGCAGAUGAAAAUUUCAUAAGCAAUUGAUUGUGCACUUGGAGAGCUGUGAAAUCCCUUUGAAAUAUUGAUGCGGAUCCUGGACAUGGGCUAGGAUUGUAAGGAUUAUUUUCGGAUGAAGGAGCAGGGCAGCUUGUCCUUGUUUACACAUAUUGGAUAAUUAAUGGACCAUUCAAUCUAAACGGUUUAGUGCUGUUCCUGUGACCGCACAGUUUUAUGGCUUCGGCCAGACUAAAGUGCCGCCUAAUAAGCUUAAACUUAAUUAAGAACUUAUCAACAGCUGCGUUAAAAUGCCAAUUUGGCAGGCUUUGCCAGUUGCCAGUUACCAGUUGCCCUUGGCAAAGCCAGCCAGCCAGCCAUCUAUCCCGACCACAGCCACCGAGUUGCGAAGGCCAACAAAUUGCAUUACCCCUGAUUUUACCGCACUACUUUGGCAAACUCGCUCUUUUCUCUGAAUUAAUCGUGGGCUUUAAGGGUCGUCCUUUCGUCCUUUGAAUUAGUUAUUUCCAACGUGGGCAACUUCAAAGGUGUGCUGCGAACAUGUCAUAACAUGGGGAAAUUAAAAUUUACAUCACAACUUAAGCGACGUCCUGGCGCAGCAUCUCGUCCCCAUGGAUACCCGUUUUUUAUCCAAAGUUUUUUUGUGUGUUUGCUUGUUGUUUUUUUUUGUAUUUUGCUCCGUUGCGUUGCUCCUUUUUGGCAGGCAGAGCACUUAAUUUGGCACAUUGCCUUGCAUAUCCUGGCAGCAGGACGACGACAACAAUCCGCUCAGGUGCAGCCACAGUGGCGGCAACAAGCAGCAUUUUGUUGUAAAAUGCAUAAAUUUUUACUACCUGCCAGUAAAGGAAAAACAGCAGCAGCGGCAGCUAGUGUUGCCAAUUUUGGGAAGGAUGGGUAAAAAAUGGCUCAAAGGAAGCAAGGAAUCGAGUACGA
rnacentral:sRNA from 1 species